GUCCACGCUGUAACGAUCAAUACUAGGUGUGCGGGACUGACCCCUGCGUGCCGCAGUUAACACAAUAAGUAUUGCACCUGGGAGGUACGAUCGCAAGGUUGAACUCAAAGGAAUUGACGGGGCCCGGCACAAGCGGUGGAUUAUGUGGUUUAAUUCGAAGCAACGCGAAGAACCUUACCAGGGCUUGACAUCCUACUAACGAAGUAGAGAUACAUUAGGUGCCCUUCGGGGAAAGUAGAGACAGGUGGUGCAUGGUUGUCGU
rnacentral:rRNA from 1 species